rnacentral:tRNA from 2 species
GAGCCGUUAGCUCAGUCGGUAGAGCAACUGCCUUUUAAGCAGUGGGUCCUGGGUUCGAGUCCCAGACGGCUCA